rnacentral:rRNA from 1 species
UUUUAUUUGAGAGUUUGAUCCUGGCUCAGGAUGAACGCUGGCGGCGUGCCUAACACAUGCAAGUUGAGCGAUUUACUUCGGUAAAGAGCGGCGGACGGGUGAGUAACGCGUGUGUAACCUACCCUGUACACACGGAUAACAUACCGAAAGGUAUGCUAAUACGGGAUAAUAUAUUUGAGAGGCAUCUCUUGAAUAUCAAAGGUGAGCCAGUACAGGAUGGACCCGCGUCUGAUU